CUGAAAAAUACAUUCCUUUUUUUGCAUAACGUUAUCAAAGUAACAUUUAUGUUUUCUAUUUUAGUGACAAUGAAAGUAAUAUGGACUUCAAAGUCAUAGACGAAGAUUUUCCGCUUCCCGUCAUCCACGAAAAUGUACAUGCAGUCUUCCGAGUUACUCGUCAGCCCUGAUGAUCCAUCGAAUAUACAGGAAUGUAUGAUAGAUGUAGAAUCACCAAGAUCGAUUUAGAAGUAAUCGAAGGCUGGAGGAAACAUAUGCAAUGUGUCGAAC